GUGGAUUAGAUACCCUGGUAGUCCACGCCGUAAACGAUGUUCACUCGCUGUAUGCAAUACACCGUAUGCGGCCAAGCGAAAGUAUUAAGUGAACCACCUGGGGAGUACGUCGGCAACGGUGAAACUCAAAGGAAUUGACGGGGGCCCGCACAAGCGGAGGAACAUGUGGUUUAAUUCGAUGAUACGCGAGGAACCUUACCUGGGCUUAAAUGUAGGUUGCAUGAGGUGGAAACACUUCUUCCCUUCGGGGCUACUUACAAGGUGCUGCACGGCUGUCGCCAGCU
rnacentral:rRNA from 1 species